GCCUAACACAUGCAAGUCGAGCGACGCCCCACCUUCGGGUGGGUGACGGAGCGGCGGACGGGUGAGUAACACGUAAGUGAUCUGCCCAAAAGCGGGGGAUAACCCGUCGAAAGACGGACUAAUACCGCAUGUGUCCAUGGAUUCGUUUCCAUGGGUAGACCUUUAGGGCUUUUGGAGGAGCUUGCGGCCGAUUAGCUAGUUGGUGAGGUAAAGGCUCACCAAGGCUGUUAUCGGUAGCUGGUCUGAGAGGACGAUCAGCCACACGGGGACUGAGAUACGGCCCCGACUCCUACGGGAGGCAGCAGCUAAGAAUCUUGCGCAAUGGGCGAAAGCCUGAUGCAGCGACGCCGCGUGGGGGAUGAAGGCUCUAGGGUCGUAAACCCCUUUUGCCAGGGAAGAAGAUCUGACGGUACCUGGCGAAUAAGCCACGGCUAACUACGUGCCAGCAGCCGCGGUAAU
rnacentral:rRNA from 1 species